CUGAAGUCUCAUGUUGCUUCCACCCAGAAGCAAAGCUCUCUCUAUGAUCUGUGAGCCUGCUUUCCUGGAUUUUCUCACUCAGCAUUGAUCUGCAGUUAUGUCAGAGAUGACUGGCAACCAAAAGAGGAACGAGAAAAGGCUACUGUCCACAAGGAAUUUACAAACACUGCUAUAGUGCUGCUGAUGAUGUUGGCUGUGAUGAAAAUAUCUGAUGCUUCAGCUCCCGUCUUGUUACCUAAAGGUUAUCAUUAAAGCUACAUUCAUCACAAGGACUUGCACCAUCUGCAGCUUUGCAGAUGGCACCAAACUGAGUGAUGCAGAUGACACAACAGAAGUGACAGACGCCAUCCAGAGAGACCUGAACACAC
rnacentral:lncRNA from 1 species